AUGCAGCAUCCCGAGCAGGGUGGCGCCGGGUACCCCUACGGGCCGCCGCUUACGGGGAUGGCCCCGUUGUUGCCGCAGCCGGCAUCCGCGGCCGUGCCUGUCAGCAGCAUCCCGUCUCCGACGCCGUCGCCGAUGCAGCCGCAGCCGCAGCCAGCGGGGACGAGCUUCGACCAAUUGCCAGCCGCGCGUGUCAGCAGCAUCCCGUCUCCGACGCCGUCGCCGUCGCCGAUGCAGCCGCCGCCGCAGCCAGCGGGGACGAACUUCGACCAAUUGCCGUCCGCCGGCGCCGUCAGCUUCCACGACGACGAGAACACGCCGGUCGACGGCGGAAGCGGCAGGAGCGGCGGCGACGCGGGGGCGGGAGGGUCCGGCAGCCGGUGGCCGCGGGAGGAGACGGUGGCGCUCAUCAGGAUCCGGUCGGAGAUGGACGGCGCCUUCCGGAACGCCGCCCUCAAGGCCCCCGUCUGGGAGGAGGUCUCCAGGAAGCUUGCGGAGCUGGGCUACCGCAGGAGCGCCAAGAAGUGCAAGGAGAAGUUCGAGAACGUGGACAAGUACUACCGCCGCACCAAGGAAGGCCGCGCCGGGCGCCAGGACGGCAAGAACUACCGCUUCUUCAAGGAGCUCGAAGCGCUCCACGCCGCGGCCCCGCAGCAGAACCAGCACAUGGCGACCGCCGCGCCAAUCUUGCCAGAUCCUCGGCCGUUGGCAAUGGCGCCUGCCUAUCCUGGCGCCGGCCUGCCGGACCUCAGCUUGUCGUCGAAUUCGGAGUCAGAGUCGGACGACGAGUCAGACGAGGAGGAAGACCAGGCGGGCGGCGGCGGCGGCAGGAGCAACGAGAGCAUGAUGGCGCUCUUCGAGGGGAUGAUAAAGCAGAUCACGGAGAAGCAAGACGCGACGCAGCGGCUGUUCCUGGAGACGCUUGAGAAGUGGGAGGCCGACCGCACCGCGCGGGAGGAGGCAUGGCGCCGGCAGGAGCUGGCCCGCAUAAGCCGCGAAAGGGAGCAGCACGCCCGGGAGCGAGCCGCCGCGGCCGCCCGCGACGCCGCCGUGAUCGCGUUCCUCCAGCGCGUCGGCGGGAGCUCCGUGCUGCCCACCCCAAUGCCGGCCCACACAGCGCCUCAUCCCGACGCGCCGGCCUCCUCGCUCCAGCUGGUGGUCGCCGCGCCGGAGGAGGGCGGCCGGCGAGGAGGAGGGGAGAGCAGCGCGGGCAUGUCACGGUGGCCCAAGGAGGAGGUCCAUGCGCUGAUCCAGCUGCGGAUGGAGAAGGACGAGCACUGCCAGGACAUGGGGGCCAAAGGGCCGCUGUGGGAGGACAUCUCCGCCGGCAUGCGGAGGAUCGGCUACAACCGGAGCUCCAAGCGGUGCAAGGAGAAGUGGGAAAACAUCAACAAGUACUUCAAGAAGGUGAAGGAGAGCAACAAGAGGCGCCCCGAGGACUCCAAGACGUGCCCCUACUUCCACCAGCUCGACGCUAUCUACCGCAAGAAGCAAUCUGCCGUGAGCAACGCCGCCGGCGGCUGCUCUAGCACUGCCUCCGGGAACGCUGUGGCCGCGGUCAACGCCUCCGCCUCCGAGCAGCAUAACCCCUGGCGCGAGCUCGAGGGUAAGAUCAGCAACGACUUUGACAGGAGGCACACCGUUGGAGGGGGAAGCUCAGAUGCCCCGCCCGGCGACGGCGAGGUGGCCGCGGCCAGUACCGUGCUUGAUGCCAUCGCUACAACCAAGAAGUCUGAAGACAACGUGAUGGCAAUGGAGUCAAACAUUCAGUCCCAGCAGACGGAGGUGACGGCGACGGACGAGACGGACAGCGACGACAUCGAAGGCAACUACACCGAUGACGGCGACGACGACGACGGCGACGAGGAUGACAAGAUGAAGUACACCAUAGAGUUCCAGAAGCACAAAGAGGGCGGAAGCAGUAGCGCUCCUGCUGCCCCAGCGACAGCUGCGACGGUGGUGACGAGUUCGGCCCCGACAGGCAGGACCUUCCUUGCCGUUCAGUAG
rnacentral:rRNA from 1 species